GCACGUACUUUCAAGUUAAUGAGGCAAGUGCAUUUAAACAAGUGAAGAGAUCCAUUUUACACAAGUUUGUGCACAAAUGAUAUAUUACUCUAGAUCAUGUAAUUUAAAUUUUGAGUUAAUCAAAUAUCAGUAGGCAUUCCCUCUAUAUGGAGAUAAUAUUAAAUGAAAGGUUAGUUUUAAAGAGUUAUUGAUAAUCAAAACCUAUCAUACCAAUCAAUUUGAAAUGUGACAAGCAUGGAGUAUACAAAAAUCAGAACUCAAAUUUCUAAAAAUUUGAACAAAAAAAUUUUGAACAAGUGUUAGAAUUCAUGUAAAACUAACUUGUGCAGGUGGAUCCUUCUCUUGAGAAAAUGAUCUUAACUUGCUCUUUUCCAUGUUUUAACAUGGAUUAUCAAGUUGCCAUGUUUGUUAUAUUUUUUGCAGGUAUUUGCUGACCAUGAAUCCA
rnacentral:misc_RNA from 1 species